rnacentral:piRNA from 1 species
UNCUGGAGCCUCCAUGACGAAACACUGCCUUU